rnacentral:rRNA from 1 species
CCUACGGGUGGCAGCAGUCGAGAAUCAUUCACAAUGGGGGAAACCCUGAUGGUGCGACGCCGCGUGGGGGAAUGAAGGUCUUCGGAUUGUAAACCCCUGUCAUGUGGGAGCAAAUUAAAAAGAUAGUACCACAAGAGGAAGAGACGGCUAACUCUGUGCCAGCAGCAGCGGGAAUACAGAGGUCUCAAGAGUUGUUCGGAAUCACUGGGCGUAAAGCGUGCGUAGGCUGUUUCGUAAGUCGUGUGUGAAAGGCGCGGGCUCAACCCGCGGACGGCACAUGAUACUGCGAGACUAGAGUAAUGGAGGGGGAACCGGAAGUCUCGGUGUAGCAGUGAAAUGCGUAGAUAUCGAGAGGAACACUCGGGGCGAAGGCGGGUUCCUGGACAUUAACUGACGCUGAGGCACGAAGGCCAGGGGAGCGAAAGGGAUUAGAUACCCUUGUAGUC